GGAGUAUGGGCCGUGUCUCAGUCCCAUUGUGGCUGAUCAUCCUCUCAAACCAGCUACUGAUCAUCGCCUUGGUGGUCCAUUACACCCCCAACUAGCUAAUCAGAUGCAGACUCAUCCCAGAGCACCGGAGUUUUCAAGAAUAGUAUCUCAACUACGCUCAUAUGGGGUAUUAGCGGUCGUUUCCAACCGUUGUCCCCCGCUCUGGGGCAGAUUCUCUACAUUUUACUCACCCGUCCGCCACUUUCCACUGACCGAAGUCAGCUUCUCGUUCGACUUGCAUGUAUGAAGCACGCCGCCAGCGUUCGUCCUCGAGCCACUGAUCAAACUACU
rnacentral:rRNA from 1 species